GGCCAAUCGGCGGCAAGCGGAGUCAGGUUGCGGAUCCAGGAUUCCCUCCAGGUUCGGAGCUCUCGGCUGGCUCUGGAUGCUCCGAGGAGGACGUGGAUGGCAGCCGAGCUCUUCAAACCCAGUGGAUUUUCAGAUGUCAAGGAGAUCUGUGAUAAUUCAGUGACCACCAGGGGGCAUCAGGAUCUCUGGGUGUCCUGAGUAACCGAGCCCACACUGAAUAAGGAUGAGUGUUUGCUGAACCCACGGGAGGCGAGGCAUGAGCUAAGAGGCUGGAAGAAAACGCAAGGAGCCGGAGGCACUGAGGACACGUUCAUUCCCUCCUGGCUGGCCCAGCAGCUGUGGCAGCGGACAUCACACAACGUAACUGCUCACAAGCCUGACGGGCUUUUCCAGAAGACUCUGUCUAUUGCCUGCUCAGCUUGCAUGGAUUCAUGAAGCAAGUAAACUCCUUGGAAAGAUCCACGAGCAAGGAACUGAGAAUUCCCUUUGGCCAGCUACCACUGAGAAACGGAGGCCCUCAGUCCAACAGCUUGCGAAGAAGAGAAUCCUGCCACCAACUACAUGAACUUGGAAGUGGAUAUUUCUCCAGUUAAACCUUGUGAUGACUACAUCCCAGAUGACCCAGGGAUUA